rnacentral:rRNA from 1 species
AGGACGAACGCUGGCGGCGUGCUUAACACAUGCAAGUCGAGCGGAAAGGCCUUUCGGGGUACUCGAGCGGCGAACGGGUGAGUAACACGUGAGUAAUCUGCCCAUCGCUUCAGGAUAGCCAUCGGAAACGGUGAUUAAUACUGGAUAUGACAUUCCUUCGCAUGUUGGGGUGUGGUAAAGUUUUUUCGGCGGUGGAUGUGCUCGCGGCCUAUCAGCUUGUUGGUGGGGUAAUGGCCUACC